UGAUUGUUUGGUUUUUGAUUUUUAACGGU
rnacentral:piRNA from 1 species